UGAUAACCUAAGAGAGAAAGAUAAUCCCACU
rnacentral:piRNA from 2 species